CGCCGCCGGUACCAAUGGCUCGCCGGAGGUAGUGACCGGCGAGUUCCAAUCAGCCGAGUUCCCUUUCCCUUCUCCCUUUUACCCUACUGCUGCUCGACGCCGGUAAAAUAUAAGCGACGCACAAAUCAGCCGGUGAACUCCAUCACUGCUCCGGCCAGAUCUGGACGAAAUGAUCCAAGAUCCGAGCUCCGACACACCACACCGAUGCUGUCCACCAAAAAUAGCCCAGAUCUGGUCGUGUUUUAUUUUUCCGGCGAUUGCCGUUGAAGCAACGCCGGUGACCCAUUCCCUAUUGGUCUCUAUUUUUAUUUGAUUUCAUAUUUGGCAGCAGCCAUGGCCAUGAUACCAAAAAAAGAGCUCAAAUUUGGGUGAGUCCCCACUAACGCCGGCGACCCCUCGACUCGUUAAUGUCUUUUUCAUAUAAGUUUGGACAUAUUUUUGUGUUCUCAUAUGUUUUUUUUUUAUGAUUUGCUAGACUGUUUUGAUUCUGAUGAUUUGGUAUAAUUUUGCCGGAUAAUAUUACUCACUGGAUUGCUGCUUGCUUAUGUUGCUCUGGUAUUGGUUUUGCUCUGUUAUGUCCUUGUGACAACUUUAGUUUUCAUUUGUUUAGAUUGCUGAUUUUUUAAUAUUAUUGGAUGAUUAUCCUUGUAAAAUACUGAUAACAAAUCAAUACUAUAUUACUUUGACCGAUGGAGAAAUUAUUCAUUGAUUUUCGAGGCCUUCACCAAUAAAAAGAUAGAAUUUUACCUAUACGAAUAAGUGGCGAAAUUCUUAUAAUAUUUUUAAAAUUUUAUUUGAGUACAUUAUGAGAGUGUUUUGUACAGACUAUUGAGAUUACUCAUCAAGAAUGAUUUUCAAAGAAACUUUAAAUUUGCAUUAUAUUUUUUAUAUUUUUAUACUUGUACAAAUAUUAUCAUAGUGAAAUUUUAUUUUUUUAGUGUUGGAAGGAAUAUUCUUUAUUUACCCAAUUAUCAUCACGCGUUAGAAAAAUUUAGGUCGUUACUAUUUAUAUAAAAGGAUUAAAUUGAUUUAGAUAUUUAAUCGAAUAAUUCAUAUUUUUUAACCUAAAAACAUUACGUAAUCUUUUUUUUUGAACAAAUUUUUCUUUAUUUAAUCUUUUUAUUUUUCAUAUAUAUUCUCAUGUACUUUUGUUUAUUUUCAUACACUUUUUAUAUAUAUAUUUUACGAUAACAUAUGUAAUUUACACAUUCAUUAUAUAUAAAUUGUUUAUAUUGUUUUAAUACUUAUUUUGUAUUUGUAUUUACAAACAUCAAUUUUUUCUCUUUUUUUUAAUAAACCUAAGUUUAGUCGGAAACCACAUUUGUGGAUUCUGAAGGGUGUCUAAUACCUUUUCUUUGGAAUAAUUUGAACACUUAUCUAGAAUCUAAAUUGAUUAGUAAAGUAAACCACAAGUCAUACAUAUUAAUACAUAAAUAGCUUUCCUUAUUUUUCUUAAAUAUUAGGUGGCGACUCUGUACGUAAUUUAUUCUUUUAGAGUCGAUAAUGUCGUGUUUGUUUUGAUCUUAGAUAAAAAAAUCAGGUAUGACAAUGCUUAUCAAUUCAGCAAGAGAGAUGACAGAGAGAUCUUUAGACUCUUCUAAAGUGGAGAUUUUGGACUCAAAUCUUUCAGGAAAAGUCACCAAAAUUUUUCAACUAUUUUAUUGUCUUUAAAAUCUUUGCCAAACAAUCUGAUUAUAUUGACAAUAAAAGAAAUUCUAUCAGAAUACUUAAUAAUUGUCUCACCUUCUUGCAUCCUAAGAGAUUCAAAAUCUUUUUUUUAAAUUCAGAGUUUGAUUUUGUCUACCUCGUUUACUUCCUUGGUGCUCCUUUUCAAACUUUUCUUAAGCUUCUUUUGUUGUUUCGCAUGCAAUGAUUUUUGAAAAAAUUGAAUCAACAACUGAAUUUUGAAUUACAAUUUUUUCUUUAUAUUUUUUUUUAUUUCUCUUUUGAGUAAAGUUUGAUUUCGGCAGCAGAAGAUUUAGCUGUGAGUGGUUGUAUAGGUUUCUCUUUCUUUACAACUUCCGACAAAUCAUAAGCUUCAAAUUAAAAUUUUAUCUUAACUGCCCAAAUUUGAUAAUUUUCACCAGUGAAGUUUGUGGAGAAAAUUGAAGGAGAGAUGUCUUUUAAGUCUUGAAUGAAGGAUUGGUGACAUUGACCAACUUAAAGGGUCAAACAUUAUUAGAAAACUUGAUUAAGUUAAUUGUGAACUUGAUUAAUAUUUUCAAAACUUUCUAAUCUUUUAAAAAAUACAAAUCAACCUAACCCACACCCCUUUUCAAUCCAAAUCAACCAGUCUCUCUUCUCUUUCUCGAUAGUUUCUCUCAACUCUCUCUCAACCAACAGUUUUGCAAAUUUCUCCUUUCAAUCCUCCGCAACUUCAACAUCUGACAACAAAUAGUUGGGAUUCGAGUUCCUUUUCGACUUCAACCUUCAAUCGAUGUGACAGCCUUACUCUCUGGCCACAACAGCUUCGAAUUCUUCAACCUUCAAUCGACGUGACAGCCUUGCUCUCCGGCCACAACAGCUUCGAAUUCAUCAUCGUUCCUUUUCUUCUUUCACAGGUAAAAAUUUAUGGUCUUUUUAGUUUUGAAGAAAACGAGGAACUUGAGUCAACUUCUCUUAUAGUAUUGUUAAUAAUUUCAAUAUUUAUUAUUUUAAUUUGAAAUGCGGUCUCAAUAAAACCUUAAUUUCUGGUAUUUCUUCUCUUCUCUUUUCGAAGUGAAUAAUUAUUUUUUGUUGUUUGUUGCGUUUUUUUUAAGUUUGAUUUUCUUUGUUUGUGUUUAUAAAAACAAAACAACAAUUUGGGUUGAUUUGUUCUUUUCUUGUUCUUGGUAAAAAUGGUGAUAUUGUUGUUUUUCUGUUGAACAAAAUCGUGCUACUGUUUUUUUUAUCGAACAGAUUAUCCUUCUGGUGCAACAUAUAACCAUCCGAUGCAACAGAUUUGUCAGAUGAUGCAAUAGAUCAACCAUCUGAUGCACUAGAGGAACCAUCAGAUUAUAAUUUUGAUGCAACAGAUUUAACAUAUGAUGCAAUAGUUAAACUAUUUGAUUCAACAUAUUAACCAUAUGUUGCAACAGAUUAAGAAUUGGAUAA
rnacentral:lncRNA from 1 species